UACGUAGGGUCCAAGCGUUAUCCGGAAUCACUGGGCGUAAAGCGUGCGUAGGCGGCGUGUUAAGUGAGAUGUUAAAUCGUGUGGCUCAACCAUAUCGGUGCAUCUCAUACUGGCAUGCUAGAGGAAGGCAGAGGCAAGUGGAAUUGGUAGUGUAGCAGUGAAAUGCGUAGAUAUUACCAGGAACACCAAUGGCGAAGGCAGCUUGCUGGGCCUUUUCUGACGCUGAGGUACGAAAGCGUGGGGAGCGAACAGG
rnacentral:rRNA from 1 species